rnacentral:rRNA from 1 species
AGUGAACGCUGGCGGUAGGCCUAACACAUGCAAGUCGAACGGCAGCACAGUAAGAGCUUGCUCUUACGGGUGGCGAGUGGCGGACGGGUGAGGAAUACAUCGGAAUCUACUUUUUCGUGGGGGAUAACGUAGGGAAACUUACGCUAAUACCGCAUACGACCUACGGGUGAAAGCAGGGGAUCUUCGGACCUUGCGCGAUUGAAUGAGCCGAUGUCGGAUUAGCUAGUUGGCGGGGUAAAGGCCCACCAAGGCGACGAUCCGUAGCUGGUCUGAGAGGAUGACCACCCACCCUGGAACUGGGACCGGGCCCAGACCCCUACGGGGGGAAGAGGGGGGGAAAUUGGGAAAAGGGGCGCAACCCUGACCCACCCAACCGGGGGGGGGGAAGAAGGCCUUCGGUUUUAAAACCCUUUUUUUUGGGAAAAAAAAGAAGCAGGUUAAUACCCCGUUUUUCUGACGGUCCCAAAAAAAAAAGCCCCGGCCAACUUCGU